UCUCAGAUGGUCCAGUGGUCAAGAUUUCCGCCUGUCAAUGUUUCAGUCUUUGUACUGUUGCGUGCUCGCGGACGACCGGGGUUCGAUUCCCCGUCUGAGAG